rnacentral:rRNA from 1 species
AGCAGCCGCGGUAAUUCCAGCUCCAAUAGCGUAUAUUAAAGUUGUUGCAGUUAAAAAGCUCGUAGUUGAAUUUCGGGGUUCUACCGUUGGUCGGGCAAUAGUCUGUACUGGCGUGUAGAAUUUCUACCUUCUGGGGAACCAUCAUGUUAUUUAUUUAGUGUGGUGGGAAACCAGAACCUUUACCUUGAAAAAAUUAGAGUGUUCAAAGCAGGCUUACGUCUGAAUACAUUAGCAUGGAAUAAUAAAAUAGGACGGUGGUCCUGUUUUGUUGGUUUCUGAAUCACCGUAAUGAUUAAUAGGGAUAGUUGGGGGCAUUAGUAUUCAAUUGUCAGAGGUGAAAUUCUUGGAUUUAUUGAAGACUAACUUCUGCGAAAGCAUUUGCCAAGGAUGUUUUCAUUAAUCAAGAACGAAAGUUAGGGGAUCGAAGACGAUCAGAUACCGUCGUAGUCU